UUGUAAUAUCAGGCUGCUCAGUGCAUUCUCACUUGUAAUUAUGUUUUUAGAAGCAAGUUAAAGUUUCCUAUUAUAUCCACAGCAAGAUCUAUUUAAGAGAUAGCAAUUGCACAUCCCAAGACAAUUUAUACCACUGAGGAGUGAGUCAGGUUAGGAAAAAAAUUAGAGAAGAUCUCUAUCUUUCUUCUUCCCUCACAACUUCCAGAGAGGCUAUUUUUCAGGUUGUAGCAAUGCAGAGUGCUUGCUUAUUUUGUUUACACUUACCAAAAUUCCUUUCUUUUGGUCAGCAGCGCAAUGCUGAAAUGUGGUGCCUUGGGGCCUGAUGUCCCACCUGCCUCUCAGAAACACAGUGGACCUAUUCUUACCUGUUUUACAGGUAAAAUUUUCAUUUUUUUCCAUUGGAACCCUGCAUCAGAGCAGAAGCAAAUGAAGCAGAAAGGAGCGUGGCAUCACCUCUCAUCUGGUCUCUCCCAUAUCAUCUCACUACACAAGGUCUACCACUGUAAGCCAGACAGGCAAUCUCAAAGAGGAAGUGUCUCCAAAAUGCAUCAAAUACUUAUGUUUAUCAAAUAGUUAAGAACUAUGGCUAAAGAAGAUUUCCAGCUAAGCUCACUGACAACAGGUAUUCUAGCAAACUGGCCUAGAAACGGAUUUGCUGGGAUGAUGUGGGGCCCUGGUAAACCAGACAACCUCUCUAGCACUAUUUUUUACAUGAUCAUGAAAUGUAUCACUUUAAGUUAGAAAGAAAGACUGAGAUAAAAUAUUGGUUUUUAUUUUUAUUUCUAUUCCUUUAUAUAGCUUUAAAACUAAUGAUUAGCCUAGGUCAAAAUGUUCAGUUAGAUUAAACAUCUUUAAAGUCAACAGGACUACAUUAAUUUAUAGAGGGGGGAAACUGGGGCUUCAUCUGGCUGUUUUACAGUUUCACACCAUGGAUCUAACUGCACUCACUUAUUUUGUGAGAACUGGGGAUGGUAGUAGCACACAUUUUCCAGCCAGUGUGGAAACUGGAAGGUCUCCUUGUCUAUUCAGGGUGUAAAGGAGUCGUAAAUAUUUGAACAGUUUCCAGCAUGAUCUAAAUCACUUUUCCAACUGCUUUGAUUUGUAUCAUAAAAGAGACAGUGAGACUUGUUAUAAUGACAUUGCACUUGAGGGUCGUAAUGCUCUGCUUGUGCACAAAUCCCAAACAGUUACAGAUGUUUUCUUCUUGGCUGCCUGAAUAGUUGAAGAUUGCUGUGUUGUGUCGUGUAUUGGUUUUAUGUGGCAAGGUUUUGGUAGUGGGGGCUGAAGGUAUGGACUCUGUGAGAAGAGCCCGGCAGCUGCCCCAUGUUAGAAAAGGGCCAGUUUCAGCUGGCUCCAAAAGGGGCCAUGGCUGGCCAGAGCCGAGCCAUGAGCGAUGCUAGGUGGGCCUCUGGGAGAGCAGAGUUAAGGAAGGGAAAGAAGUGUUGGGCAACAGCAGCUGGGAGAGAGGGGUGAGAGCCAGCCCUGCACCCCCACGGGCAGUGCAGCAGGAGGGCAGGAGGUGCUCCAGGCAGGCAGCAGCAGUUCCCCUGCGGGCUGUGCAGGGAGAGGCCCC
rnacentral:lncRNA from 1 species